rnacentral:rRNA from 1 species
ACCCGCUGAACUUAAGCAUAUCAGUAAGCGGAGGAAAAGAAACUAACUAGGAUUCCCCGAGUAGCGGCGAGCGAAAGGGGAGAAGCCCAGCGCCGAAGCCCGCGACCCCCGGUCGCAGUGCAAUGUGGCGUUUCGGCGGCGACUCGCCGCGACCUCCCCGGCACGUGUACCUCUGAAUGGGUCUGCCCGUAGCGGGUGUCAGGCCUCUAGGUGCCAAAUGGGUGGUCGCGGCACGUCGUCGUCGCGGAGUCGGGUUGCUUGAGAGUGCAGCCCAAAGUGGGUGGUAAGCUCCAUCUAAGGCUAAAUACCUAGUGCGAGACCGAUAGCAAACAAGUACCGUGAGGGAAAGUUGCAAAGAACUUUGAAAAGAGAGUUCAAGAGUACGUGAAACCGUUCAGAGGCAAACGGACGGAACUGGGCGAGUUCGUCGUCGUCAUUCAGCCGCGCGCGCGCCUCUCGGGGCCGCGACGGUGCACUUGGCGGCGGCGGAGCGCGACGACCGCCUGUCGGGUCGUCAGAAGCCCGGCGGCAAGGUGGCGACGCGUUCGCGCGUCGUGUUACAGGCCGCCGAGGCGUUGGCAGACCUGGCGGGCGAGGAGCGCCCGCGGUGCACUCCCACCCGUUAACGCGGGGCGGGAGCGGCCCGACGCGGUGGGCUUGCGGACGCCGGCGACGAACUGCUCGCAGUUUGACGUCGCGCGCUUCGUCUGUCGCGCCGUGCGGUGCCGCGUGGCACCCGGGGUCCGGGUCGUGUGGUUCCUGGCACUCCGUCCGACCCGUCUUGAAACACGGACCAAGGAGUUGAGCACGUGCGCGAGUCGAUGGGCUCUACGAACCCCAGUGGCGCAGCUAAGGCAAAACGGGCGUGAUCCGGCACUGGCGUGUCGGCGCAACGCCGGCCCGCAGCCGACUCGUUGCGAGUGGCUGCGGCGCAAGAGCGUGCGUGCUCAGACCCGAAAGGUGGUGAACUAUGCUUGAGCAGGGCGAAGCCAGAGGAAACUCUGGUGGAGGCUCGCAGCGAUCCUGACGUGCAAAUCGGUCGUCAAACUUGAGCAUAGGGGCGAAAGACUAAUCGAACCGCCUAGUAGCUGGUUCCCUCCGAAGUUUCCCUCAGGAUAGCUGGCACUCGGGAUAAAUGGUUUUAUCCGGUAAAGCGAAUGAUUAGAGGCAUUGGGGACGAAACGUCCUCAACCUAUUCUCAAACUUUAAAUGGGUAAGAGGCGCGACCCUUCCCUAUCGGGGUCGCGUGCUCGAACAGAGAGUGCCCAGUGGGCCGUUUUUGGUAAGCAGAACUGGCGCUGUGGGAUGAACCAAACGUGCGGUUAGGGUGCCUAACGCACGCUCAUGAGAUACCACAAAAGGUGUUGGUUGAUAUAGACAGCAGGACGGUGGCCAUGGAAGUCGGAAUCCGCUAAGGAGUGUGUAACAACUCACCUGCCGAAUCAACUAGCCCUGAAAAUGGAUGGCGCUGGAGCGUGCGACCCAUACCGCACCGUCGGGGCAAUGCGUGCGAAAUGCCAGGCCCCGACGAGUAGGAGGGCGCGUCGGUGGCGUUGAAGCGUAGUGCGUGAGCACGCGUGGAGCCGCCUUCGGUGCAGAUCUUGGUGGUAGUAGCAAGUAUACAAAUGAGAACUUUGUAGACCGAAGUGGAGAAGGGUUCCAUGUGAACAGCAGUUGGACAUGGGUCAGUCGGCCCUAAGAGAUCGGAAAAUUCCGUUCUGAACGGGGAGGUGCGAAGGACAAUGGUGGCCGGCGGCGCGGGUGCCGUCAGACCAGACGUGCUCGAGGGGGCACGAGAGCGGCAGCUCGGCCGGCCACGCACCACGUGAGCAUCCCCGAUGCGAUCGAAAGGGAAUCGGGUUAAUAUUCCCGAACCUGGCAGUGGAGAUUGGGCCCUCGGGCCCCAGUGCGGUAACGCAACCGAACUCGGAGACGCCAGCGUCGAUCCCGGGAAGAGUUCUCUUUUCUUUGUUAGGAGCGGACUCCCUGGAAUUGGCUUGUCCAGAGAUAGGGACGUUGCAUCCGUAAAGCGUCGCGCCUCACGCGGCGUCCGGUGCAUCGGCGUUGGCCCUUGAAAAUCCGAGGAAGGCAGUGUAAUUUUCACUCCAGGCCGUACCCGAAUCCGCAGCAGGUCUCCAAGGUGAACAGCCUCUGGUCGAUAGAACAAUGUAGGUAAGGGAAGUCGGCAAAUCCGAUCCGUAACUUCGGGAUAAGGAUUGGCUCUGAGGUGCGGGCUGCUUCGGGUCGCGGCAAGAAGCGGACCGCGCGUUGGCUGGACUGGGUGCGUUUCGGCGCGCCCGGACCGCCGCCAGCGCGCGUCCGUGGGCGGCCGUGGCUUUCGCCGGCGCUGGCCUCGCGGCCGGCGUCGGCUUCGUUCGGCCUAAACGCACAGCACAGAACUGGCACGGACUCUGGGAACACGACUGUCUAAUUAAAACAAAGCAUCGCGAUGGCCGCUGGUCGGUGUUGACGCGAUGUGAUUUCUGCCCAGUGCUUUGAAUGUCAAAGUGAAGAAAUUCAACCAAGCGCAGGUAAACGGCGGGAGUAACUAUGACUCUCUUAAGGUAGCCAAAUGCCUCGUCAUCUAAUUAGUGACGCGCAUGAAUGGAUUAACGAUGUUCCCACUGUCCCUAUCUACUAUCUAGCGAAACCACAGCCAAGGGAACGGGCUUGGCAAAUACAGCGG